rnacentral:rRNA from 1 species
GACGAACGCUGGCGGCGUGGAUUAGGCAUGCAAGUCGAACGGUAUCAUCCUUUCGGGGGUGAGAGAGUGGCGAACUGGUGAGUAACACGUAGGUUAUCUACCCUCAAGACGGGGGACAACCCAGGGAAACUUGGGCUAAUACCGGAUGUGAGCAACUUUUAGUUGUUUGAAAGGUGGCGUAAGCUGUCGCUUGGGGAUGAGCCUGCGUCCUAUUAGUUAGUUGGUGAGGUAACGGCUCACCUAGGCAAUGAUAGGUAGGCGGCCUUAACGGGUGGUCGCCCACACUGGGAUUGAGAUACGGCCCAGACUCCUACGGGAGGCAGCAGUCGAGAAUAGUCUACAAUGGUCGGAAGACUGAUAGUGCGACGCCGCGUGAACGAUGAAUCCCUUCGGGGUGUAAAGUUCUUUUAUAUGUGAGCAGUGCUUCUUAUAUUAACAGUAUGGGGAGAGAGAUAUUAGCAUAUGAAUAAGCAACGGCUAACUCCGUGCCCAGCAGCCGCGGU